UCUCUCUCUCUCUCUCCUGGUCUUCAACGACACACGGCAGAUGGGGAGGAUGGCUGGGAGGUGGUGACCUGCUUCCCAAGAGUCCAUGAAGAAGCUGGAGCUUGUGGCGCCCUUUUGCUACAGGCCUAGGUAUGUGAUGUCUUCCCCCUCUCCCCUUAAAGAACCGAAUUUUUUGAAGCCUACAGUGCAGGUUUGACCGCAGCGACGAGGUCAAGCGGCUGUCCAAGUCGACGAAGAGCAAACCAUGAAGGAUCUGGGGCUGUUCGGGCCUGCAGUGAUUUAAUUUGCGGUGUGGGGAUAGAGAGUGGGUAAUGAUGGUAUCUACCGUCCUCCAAAACAUCAGAAGGUAUUAUGGAUGAUAAUCAUGGUAAAGACGCUUCAAGGAGAGAAAAGGCACCACCAAGUAUGGCAAUAUAAUAUUCUUAUCUCAAGGAGAUUAUUGAUGUUGCUGCUUAUAGGUCAAAAGAGUGGGACAUGAUUUGUACUGCUCUAUUUCGAUUUGAGAUGAAGAUUUCUAUCUGUGCUGCUGCUACCGGGGU